GAUUGAACGCUGGCGGUAUGCUUAACACAUGCAAGUCGAACGGAAACGAUACUAGCUUGCUAGUAGGCGUCGAGUGGCGGACGGGUGAGUAACGCGUAGGAAUCUGCCUGAUAGUGGGGGAUAGCCCGAAGAAAUUCGGAUUAAUACCGCAUAAUCUAUUCGUAGUAAAGUGGGGGACUUUCGAGCCUCACGCUAUCAGAUGAGCCUGCGUAAGAUUAGCUUGUUGGUAGGGUAAAAGCCUACCAAGGCAACGAUCUUUAGCUGGUCUGAGAGGAUGAUCAGCCACAUCGGGACUGGGACACGGCCCGAACUCCUACGGGAGGCAGCAGUGGGGAAUAUUGGACAAUGGGGGCAACCCUGAUCCAGCAAUACCGCGUGUGUGAAGAAGGCCUGAGGGUUGUAAAGCACUUUCAAUUGUGAAGAAAAGUUAACGGUUAAUAACCGUUAGCCUUGACGUUAACUUUAGAAGAAGCACCGGCUAACUCCGUGCCAGCAGCCGCGGUAAUACGGAGGGUGCAAGCGUUAAUCGGAAUUACUGGGCGUAAAGCGUGCGUAGGCGGUUUAUUAAGUCAGAUGUGAAAGCCCUGGGCUUAACCCUGGGAACUGCAUUUGAAACUGGUCAACUAGAGUAUGGUAGAGGAAAGUGGAAUUUCUGGUGUAGCGGUGAAAUGCGUAGAUAUCAGAAGGAACAUCAAUGGCGAAGGCAGCUUUCUGGACCAAUACUGACGCUGAGGUACGAAAGCGUGGGUAGCAAACAGGAUUAGAUACCCUGGUAGUCCACGCCGUAAACGAUGAUAACUAGCCGUUGGGGGGAUUUACCCUUUAGUGGCGAAGCUAACGCGUUAAGUUAUCCGCCUGGGGAGUACGGCCGCAAGGUUAAAACUCAAAGGAAUUGACGGGGACCCGCACAAGCGGUGGAGCAUGUGGUUUAAUUCGAUGCAACGCGAAGAACCUUACCUGGUCUUGACAUCCUGCGAACUUUCUAGAAAUAGAUUGGUGCCUUCGGGAACGCAGUGACAGGUGCUGCAUGGCUGUCGUCAGCUCGUGUCGUGAGAUGUUGGGUUAAGUCCCGUAACGAGCGCAACCCCUAUCCUUAUUUGCCAGCACGUCAUGGUGGGAACUAUAAGGAGACUGCCGGUGAUAAACCGGAGGAAGGCGGGGACGACGUCAAGUCAUCAUGGCCCUUACGACCAGGGCUACACACGUGCUACAAUGGGAAGGACAAAGAGCCGCGAAGCCGCGAGGUGUAGCUAAUCUCAGAAACCUUUUCGUAGUCCGGAUUGGAGUCUGCAACUCGACUCCAUGAAGUCGGAAUCGCUAGUAAUCGUAGAUCAGAAUGCUACGGUGAAUACGUUCCCGGGUCUUGUACUCACC
rnacentral:rRNA from 1 species